CAAUAAAUUGUCUGCAAAGAGGAGGACUGACUGAUACUUCUAAGCAAGUCUUGGAUUAUGAAUCGGCUUCAAAAACUGGUUUUCAGACUCUCUCACAGCAGGAAGAAAAUCACUAAAAUUGUUUGCUGCUUCCUUUGAGAAGAAGCUUAGUACAAACUACUGUAGUCUUUCAUCUGGAUGGGGCCUAUGGAAGGGAGGAAGGAGAAGCCAAAGGAAGAGAAAAGGAGCCCAAGUGGCAACGGGAGCAGAAGGAGGCGAUUUAU
rnacentral:lncRNA from 11 species